rnacentral:rRNA from 1 species
CCACGAAGCGGUGGAGCAUGUGGGUUUAAUUCGACGGCAACGCCGAAGAACCUUACCUGGGCUAGACAACGGUGGACAUCCCCAGAGAUGGGGCGUUUCCCUUCGGGGACUGCCGGUUCAGGUGCUGCAUGGCUGUCGUCAGCUCGUGUCGUGAGAUAGUUGGGUUAAGUCCCGCAACGAGCGCAACCCCGCCUUUAGUUGCUACCGGGUCAUGCCGAGCACUCUAAAGGGACCGCCGGCGUUAAGCCGGAGGAAGGUGGGGAUGACGUCAAGUCCUCAUGGCCCUUAUGUCCAGGGCUACACACGUGCUACAAUGGGCGGUACAGAGGGUUGCCAACCCGCGAGGGGGAGCCAAUCCCAGAAAGCCGUCCUCAGUUCAGAUUGGAGUCUGCAACUCGACUCCAUGAAGGUGGAAUCGUUAGUAAUCGCGGAUCAGCAUGCCGCGGUGAAUACGUUCCCGGGCCUU